CACGCUGUGAAUUAUUGCGCGAAAACCACCUGGAUACCUGGUUCAUUGUUUUCUGAAUUGAGCGUGGUGGAGAUCAAGAAGGCGUCCGCGGCUCCGAGAGAGUGUGUGUCUACCGUGGUCUGCUACCUUAAGUGGUUCAUUGUUUUCUGAAUUGAGCGUGGUGGAGAUCAAGAAGGCGUCCGCGGCUCCGAGAGAGUGUGUGUCUACCGUGGUCUGCUACCUUAAGUGGUUCAUUGUUUUCUGAAUUGAGCGUGGUGGAGAUCAAGAAGGCGUCCGCGGCUCCGAGAGAGUGUGUGUCUACCGUGGUCUGCUACCUUAAGUGGUUCAUUGUUUUCUGAAUUGAGCGUGGUGGAGAUCAAGAAGGCGUCCGCGGCUCCGAGAGAGUGUGUGUCUACCGUGGUCUGCUACCUUAAGUGGUUCAUUGUUUUCUGAAUUGAGCGUGGUGGAGAUCAAGAAGGCGUCCGCGGCUCGAGAGAGUGUGUGUCUACCGUGGUC